rfam:Macrostomum lignano uti_cns_0046183, whole genome shotgun sequence.
GGGUUUUUAGCCUAGUGGUUAGAGCGUCGGACUUGCGACUUGAAGGUCGGGGUUCGAUUCCCGAUCCCCCC